GUCUUUUAACAUAUCGCAAUGGAAGGGUAGUUUAUGUGGAUAAACUGGCACAAGCCACUAGAGAUGCUACACAAGAUAUGUGGGAUUUAUUAGACAUUGUAACUUAGGAACCAAGAGCAGAUACAGGGAGAGUUCCUAAAAUGUAUGAUAUCUAUAGCUGGCAGGAAUAUGCUUCAAAACUGAAAGCAGCGAUUGCCAAGGCAGGGAGACAUGUGGCGAAUGUUUCUGAAAACUGCAGUAUACAAGUUGCAGCUAUUUCUCCUGGGGACCUGGAGGAAACUGAGGAUGAGUGGGGUGAGUAUGUGAAACUGUGUCCAAAAUUACCCCGGUAUAGUGAAAUAGAUCAGGAAUCGACAGCGGCUGGUCAAGUGGGGGUUUGUCGAUCUAUGGGUGUGCGAGAUUUGACUAGUAUUGUAAAUACACUGCCACUCAUGAAAUCUAACAGUACCAAUUCUGAAUUUUGGGAUCGCUUGUGGGUAAUGGCAAGAGCCAACCGCCUAGCAGUAAAAGAUCUGUAUUUAAUUUGUGAGCAGGUCUGCCCGUCUACAUACAUGGAACAGAUCGUUAAUCUCACCCCUCCUUUACAGCAACCAGCGAAUGCAGAUGAUUACGCAACUCAGUACAGAGUGCUGCGUACUGAAGUACAGCGUAUAAUUGGAAAUGGAAUUCAGACUUUCACUAAUGUGACAAUGAUUAGGCAGGGUCCUAAUGAACCAUUUGUUGAUUACACUGAGCGAUUCACAAAGGUGCUGAAAGAAUUUGUGGCCGCACAAUGGGGGCCUGACUUAGAUUCUCCAAUCAUGCUCCACACUGCGCAGUUAAAUAUGAAUGCUAAAUUUACACAGUUGUUUCAUUCUUCUCUGCCAACAAUAAUUGACUGGUCUUCUUUUGUUGCAUGGGGGACGCAGGCUCAAGACAUCGUGGAACAACAAAAGAAGGGACUGGUUCCUGUGGUUGGCCAGCCCUCUGCUUCAGCAUUUCGCUGUUAUCAUUGCCAGCGCGAUGGUCACUACGCAAACAGGAUUGAACCUUUGAAUGUUUCAGGUCCUAUACAUCCUCCAGUAUUUCAGUAUCGUCUUCGGAGAGAAGCAGAGAGAGCUGCACAGGAAAUUGUGAACCAGCUUCAGGAAUCAGGGAUUUUGGUAAGGUGUACUUCCUCAAUGAACUUACCUAUGCAGCCUGUGAAAAAAAAAAAAAAACAGAUGGUAGCUGUAGAUUAACUCUAUACUACACCGCAUUGAAUGCUGUGACCCCUAAAAUAACCCCUAUUGUUGCUAAUCCGUCAACCAUUCUUAAUGACAUUUCUCCAAACCAUCGCUAUUUUAACACAGUAGACAUAACCAAUGGUUUUUGGUCUUGUCCUAUCAGAUAGGAAGAUCAAUACAGAUUUGCCUUUACCUGUAAUGGCGUACAAUUAACCUGGCGCCGCCUCCCACAGGGCUUUUGCGAUAGCCCCUCCCACUUCCAUGGAGUCGUUAGUAACGCAAUUUCAAAAGUCGUUAACUUGUGCGCACCGUCUAUUAUUGUUCAAUAUUGUGACUACAUUCUUCUCGCAUCUCAAGAUAAAGCACAACACUUGAGUGGACUCACUCGGUUGUUGAAAAUACUCCAAGAGGCGGGUUUCCUCUUGAACAAACAAAAGGUGCAAUUGUUUCAAUCGGAAGUUACAUUUUUAGGUCAAAGUGUAGGUCGUGAGGGAAAGAGACCUUUUCCAGACCGGGUCAUAGCCAUCACUCAAUUGAAUAAGCCAACCACAGUAACUGGUUUAAGAUCAUUAAUGGGGCUAUUUAAUUUUAAUCGGAUGUAUAUCCCAGAUUUUUCUGAUUUGGCUAAACCUCUAACAGAGGCUCUUAAAGGAGGCCUUCCGGGUGCUUCCCCUUUGGAGUGGACAGCAGACAUGGCUGAGUCCUUUACUCUCCUCAAAUCCGCAUUAGCCUCCUCUCCCGCGUUACAUCACCCCGACAUGACAAAGGCAUUCCAUGUAUGGACACAUGUUGGGCCAAGUGCUUAUAACUGUCACGAAACGCACACAGACAGGUAGAUCCAAUUGCAGUAA
ensembl:lncRNA